CCUACGGGUGGCUGCAGUGGGGAAUAUUGGACAAUGGGGGCAACCCUGAUCCAGCCAUGCCGCGUGUGUGAAGAAGGCCCUCGGGUUGUAAAGCACUUUCAGUGAGGAAGAAAGCCUGGUGGUUAAUACCCAUCAGGAAAGACAUCACUCACAGAAGAAGCACCGGCUAACUCCGUGCCAGCAGCCGCGGUAAUACGGAGGGUGCGAGCGUUAAUCGGAAUUACUGGGCGUAAAGCGCGCGUAGGUGGCUUGAUAAGCCGGUUGUGAAAGCCCCGGGCUCAACCUGGGAACGGCAUCCGGAACUGUCAAGCUAGAGUGCAGGAGAGGAAGGUAGAAUUCCCGGUGUAGCGGUGAAAUGCGUAGAGAUCGGGAGGAAUACCAGUGGCGAAGGCGGCCUUCUGGACUGACACUGACACUGAGGUGCGAAAGCGUGGGUAGCAAACAGGAUUAGAUACCCUUGUAGUC
rnacentral:rRNA from 1 species